rnacentral:ncRNA from 2 species
AUAUAAUGGCCGCCUUCAGGUGCCGACGCGGCGUUCCGCCGCCGAGGAUAAACGGGAAACAGGUGCGCGAUUCGUCGCCAGGCCUGUGCUGCCCCCGCAACGGUCAGCGCUAAACGGUGCAUCACACACGCCACUGGGUCCGCCCGGGAAGGCGAUGCACUUGAGGCGCGAGCCCGGAUACCGGCCUGAGCCCUGCCGCACGC